CUCAGCUAGCAUCCUCUUCUAGAGUCCCACCGAGUUCUCUUCAGCUACCUCACCGAACCUCCUCAGCUACCAUCCUCUCCCAGAAUCUCACUAAGUCCUCUUCGGCUACCAACCUCUCCCUGGGUCUUACCAAAUGUGCAUGAAAUCUUGCAUAACAAAUACAUUUUAAGAGAAGAAAAAAAUUGAUCAGCAAAUCAUAAUCCUCCCACUGACUUCAUCAAGUCAGAUCAAGAAAAACUAGAUAUAUGCUGAUCAAGCUGAUA
rnacentral:lncRNA from 1 species